GAUGAACGCUGGCGGCGUGCCUAAUACAUGCAAGUCGAGCGGACGGGCGAGAAGCUUGCUUUUCUGAUGUUAACGGCGGACGGGUGAGUAACGUGUGGAUAACCUACCUCUAAGACUGGGAUAACUUCGGGAAACCGGAGCUAAUACCGGAUAAUAUUUUCAACCGCAUGGUUCAAAAGUGAAAGACGGUCUUGCUGUCACUUCUAGAUGGAUCCGCGCUGCAUUAGCUAGUUGGUAAGGUAACGGCUGACCAAGGGGCCGAUGCAUAGCCGAGCUGGGAGGGGGAUCGGCCACGAGAGAACGGAGAGACGGAUUAGACUUCUACGGGAGGCAGCAGUAGGGAAUCUGGCGGAAGUGGGGAAAGUUUGACGGAGCAAGGACGUGUGAUGCAGGAAGGCCGCGGGAUCGAAAACCUCUGUUAUGAGGGAAGAACAUAUGUGUAAGGAACUGGGCACAUCUUGACGGUACCUAAACAGAAAGCAACGGCUAACUACGUG
rnacentral:rRNA from 1 species